ACACUGGCUGUUGUCAUCCGCCCCUGAGGUUUCAGGCUGUCGGCAGUGAAGGUCAGAGUGCAGACCUGAGACCACUGCUCACCGAUUUCAGACUCCAGUUUAUCUGUGCCUCGGCUUCCCCACUUAGUCGCAGAAGACUUAGGCUGAGGCCCCAGGAAGAGAUCUCCAUCCUUUGCAGGAGCACAACAAGAUGGCCAUGUCCCAGGAAUCAUUGACCUUCAAGGACGUGUUUGUGGACUUCACCCUGGAGGAGUGGCAGCAACUGGACUCUGCCCAGAAGAACCUCUACAGGGAUGUCAUGCUUGAGAACUACAGCCACCUGGUGUCCGUGGGGCAUCUAGUUGGGAAGCCAGAUGUGAUCUUCAGGUUGGGACCAGGUGACGAGUCCUGGAUGGCAGAUGGAGGGACCCCGGUACGGACCUGUGCAGGUGAGGACAGGCCAGAAAGAAAUCCUUAUUGAUUACUAUAUCUUGCAUACAGAAGAGCAUUUAGAACACGUGCGUACUUUUCAGAAGAAAUAUAUAGCUAACACCUGGAUAAUCACCACUCAGGUUGAGAACUACGACUCUACCCCUU
rnacentral:lncRNA from 1 species